UGUCUUAGAAAUUUAUUUCAUUUUAGGUACUUGUUUCAUGCCUUAUGAAAACAGGCACUUUUGCAAUGUAAAAAGACGUAUAUGUCCUCAGUUUAAUGACAUCAUCUUUCAAUCUCUUUUCCAUUUUCCUCCCAUCGUUUUGACGAGUUUCGAAAUUGAAAUUGGGAUUUGCUCUUCCAGAAGAGAGAGAGCACUCCAUGAGCCUUUUUCAAAGACAAGAGCGCUAUAAGGUCUAAGGCGGAAGAUGGUGGUGGUGGAAUUGGUGAAAUUGCUUGGUGGGUUAUAUAUUUUUUUUUUUCCGUGUUUUUGUGUUUUGUUUAUCCUAAAAUCAAUAGGAUUUCUCGUGACUGAAAUGAUUAUUCAGGUUUUGGUAGAAAAAAAUUAGAUGGAUUUUAGGCAGGCUAUGGCAUUUGAAUGGAUCUCUACCUGUAUGAACGAACUUGUUAAUGUUUAUGUUGGCCAAAGGUUAUCUUCAUCUUUUAUGUGAUAUUUUCAGUUAUUGUGUUUCUGACUUUUACAUUCAAGUUGUUGAUUUUCUUUGCUCAUGUGGUCUGUUUUAAUGAUAAUUAAAGGAUUUGCUGGUUUGUUGAUAUGAAUGUGUAUGUUCCUCAUGUGGGAGUGCUAGCAAUUUGCAAAAAAAUUGUCAUUCUCUUAUUUACGGAAGACUACUGCAAAAUGUUCUCAUUCUUUUCAACUAUGUAACUCAUGUUUGUUGCAAGUACCAUUGGUUUUAUAAGUUGCUUGAUUUUAAAGUUCAGGUAUCAAAUUGAUAAUGUAGCUUUUGUAUUUAAUUGACCAAGUAUUAAACUUAUAAUGUAGUCGAGUUUUUGGUCUUAAGAUUAAGCAUUUCAUAUCCCACUUUGGCUUGCAUGUUGAGUUGCUCUGUUGCAUCUUUCUUCGGCUGAGUGAGAACCUCUUAUGUUCUUCAAUGUGAAGAUAAAACAUACUGUAUAAUUUGUCCACGAGUUUUUUUUUUGUUUAAAACUAUUGUCGAAGACACCACCUGAAUUGCCACCAGAAAGCGCCGCACCACCGCCGAAGCCAUUCGUCACCAACCACCGUCGACGCUGUUCGUCACCCUCCACUCUCCACCCUCGACACUGUUAGCCACCCUCCACUCUCCACCAUCGACGCAGUGAACCACCACCGAAGUUGCGUGCUACCGUCGAAAUUGCACUCCCACGUCGAAGUUGCACGUCCACCACCAAAGCUAUAUGUCUCUGGACUGUAUAUAACUCAUUCUCUCAUGUGACAUCAUGUCUAAAAAUCCUUAACCUUAUUCUCAAAUUCUCCCUUAUAUUCCAGGGGCAAAAGGGUCCGUAAUAAUGAAAUUUGAAGUUAUUAUAUACUUUUACUGUUAA